GUUUACUUCAUUUUUCCUGCUUCCCUCUCCAGCCUGGGAUUAUUCGCUCAGCGAUGUCAAAACUCCCAAGUCUGACGUCAUGGCUGUUUCCACAGCAACCAAAUUGAAUCAAGGACCGAUUUCAAACCAGAUCAAUUUGACCUGUGUUACAGUGUCCACCCUUUGGGGAUACAGGAGAAAUCACUCCAGCAUUAUUCAACAACCUGGGCAGCACAUGGGCAUCUGAGCAGUAUCUGUUCCUCGCCUCCAACGCUUGGACCCGGAUGGACGGAGUGAAUGGGGGUAGGAUGCAAGGAAAGGGAUGCAGACCUGUCAGCUCACCUCCUGUGCAGCAAAAAUCCUCUGUCUGGCCUUUUCUAAUUCUGAUCUCAGGUGUGAUUAUUGAGUCCCAAAAAACUUAUUGGCACUGGAUUUACUCUUGAUGUAUUCUGCAAGAGCUGCAUCAGCAGUAGUAGGAUUUUUAGCCUAAUUAUCAGAGGUGUUUGUAGAUACAAUUCAUGUCUCCAGAAGGAUGUUAAUAAUAGCUCUGAGUGAUGAGAAACAACACAGAAUGCUGCUGCCAGCUCUAAGGAACAGUAGGGUAAACACAAAAUCCUAAAUUGGGCAUUGUCUUAGAAAUUGCUGCGAGACAGGCCUGGGAAGCAGCAUUUUCCAAGCAUUUCACACUGGAGGUCAGUGGUGUUUUCCCUACUGCAGGCAGGGAAACUGAGGCACAGAGCUGGGAGCAGCUGCCGAAGGUGGCUCAGCCUCCCUUCAGCAGAGCUGAGGGUCAGAGUGGUGUGUCCUGAGCCUCACCCCUGAGCUGCUGACCAGGUGCUGCUGCUGCUGUUCCCUCCUGAAAGUCAGACCUUGUAACUCUCUCUGCUGCCUGGGCAGGAGUGGAAGGAUCACCAGGUUAACAAGCUGCUGUGCACACUCAGGUUGAUGGUUCUGAAGCCAGGAGGACCAUGCUGAGACACAAAUGAGCACGGGAGUGUAUUGAAUACACAGUCCCUUGUCUCCUGAAAGCUGGGAUAUAGGUCUAUGGUCCAUCCCACAGAGUAGCUGAAUGAAUGGUCCUUAACUCCUCCUUUCAGUCAUUUUUGGUUGCUUGCCACAGACAGCUUUUCCCACAUCUGCUGUGUGAAAGACAGCUCCCAGUUCUACAACUGCUAUGCUUUGGGGUUUCUUUUAGGAAAAGGUCCCCAAUAUCUCAGCUGAUCCAUGUCAGCCAAGGAGACUUUUUCUUUUCAGCAAGUUGUUACAAAGGUAACAUUGCAGGGCCCCAAACCAAGGCCAUGGCACUCACAGGGGCUUUCAAGGGAGACAACCUUGUUCUCACUGGGAAAAACACAUUUUCAUCCCCUUUUUUAUGUAACUUAUGUGUGGAUAGACUUUCCCCAUUGUCCUUUUCCUUUGUAGCAGAGCAAGGCUUGGAUUCCAGGCAAGGUUGUCUUCUUAUUUCAUAUGAAG